rnacentral:rRNA from 1 species
AGGAUGAACGCUAGCGGCAGGCCUAAUACAUGCAAGACGAACGGUAAGUUGAGUAGCAAUACUUGACCUAGAGUGUCGUAAGGGUGCGUAACACGUAUGCAAUCUGCCCUCAACAGGAGGAUAGCUCGCCGAAAGGCGAAUUAACACUCCAUAAGAUCAUGGUGCGGCAUCGCACAGUGAUUAAAACUCCGGUGGUUGAGGAUGAGCAUGCGGAUGAUUAGCUAGUUGGUGAGGUAACGGCUCACCAAGGCGAUGAUCAAUAGGGGAACUGAGAGGUUGACUCCCCCACACUGGCACUGAGACUACGGGCCAGACU